rnacentral:lncRNA from 1 species
GGACGAAAUGGAUGUACUUAUGAACCAGAACGUGCCGACAUCGUCUCAGAUAAAGAGAGAAACUCACUGAAAGAAUAUGACUGAAGUAAGAAUCUGCUGUGAAGAAAUAAGAACAAAAGUGCCUACUGGUAGCUACUGCUCCUCUUUUGUACAUGGAGAAGAAAGUGGGUAUGAACCUAAACAGGAUGCUGAUCACAUUUUCAGAGAUUAUGAUAUGAGUACUGGAGAAUGAAUUAGCUUCCACUGAGAGUGUUUGAAAAGAAAUUGUACCUUAAACAAAAGGUGAAGAUGUUGUAAACAUUUGGAGAAAACAUUUAGAGAUAAAGUUAUUAAAGACUGUAGGGAAUUCCAAAGAAUGAAGCAGAAAUAUAAAGAGUAGAGUCAAGAAAAUCAGGAGAAAAGGAAAUGGAAUAAUGACUCAGAGGAGAAGAAAUAGUGAAUAGG